CCUACGGGAGGCAGCAGUGGGGAAUUUUCCGCAAUGGGCGAAAGCCUGACGGAGCAACGCCGCGUGAGGGAUGAAGGCCUCUGGGCUGUAAACCUCUUUUAUCAAGGAAGAAGAUCUGACGGUACUUGAUGAAUAAGCCACGGCUAAUUCCGUGCCAGCAGCCGCGGUAAUACGGGAGUGGCAAGCGUUAUCCGGAAUUAUUGGGCGUAAAGCGUCCGCAGGCGGCCCAGAAAGUCUGCUGUUAAAACGUGGAGCUUAACUCCAUCAUGGCAGUGGAAACUGUUGGGCUUGAGUGUGGUAGGGGCAGAGGGAAUUCCCGGUGUAGCGGUGAAAUGCGUAGAUAUCGGGAAGAACACCAGUGGCGAAGGCGCUCUGCUGGGCCAUAACUGACGCUCAUGGACGAAAGCCAGGGGAGCGAAAGGGAUUAGAUACCCCUGUAGUCCUGGCCGUAAACGAUGAACACUAGGUGUCGGGGGAAUCGACCCCCUCGGUGUCGUAGCCAACGCGUUAAGUGUUCCGCCUGGGGAGUACGCACGCAAGUGUGAAACUCAAAGGAAUUGACGG
rnacentral:rRNA from 1 species